GAUGAACGCUGGCGGCGUGCCUAAUACAUGCAAGUCGAGCGAACGGACGAGAAGCUUGCUUCUCUGAUGUUAGCGGCGGACGGGUGAGUAACACGUGGAUAACCUACCUAUAAGACUGGGAUAACUUCGGGAAACCGGAGCUAAUACCGGAUAAUAUCUUGAACCACAUGGUUCAAAAGUGAAAGACGGCCUUUCGGUCACUUAUAGAUGGUUCCGCGCUGCAUUAGCUAGUUGUGACGGUAACGGCUUACCAAGGCAACGAUGGAUGGCCGACCUGCGUGGGGGAUAGGCAACCAUGGAACUGGGACACGGUCCAGACUACUGAGAGAGGCAGCAGUAGGGAAUCUUCCGCAAUGGGCGAAAGCCUGACGGAGCAACGCAGCGUGAGUGAUGAAGGCCCUCGGUUCGUAAAAAUCUGCUACUAGGGAAGAACAUAUGUGUACGUAAAUGUGCACAGCUUGACGGUAACUAAUCAGAAAGCAACGGCUAACUACGUG
rnacentral:rRNA from 1 species